rnacentral:rRNA from 1 species
GACGAGCCACCCAAACGUUAUUCGGAAUUAUUGGGCGUAAAGAGCUCGUAGGCGGUCUGUCGCGUCUGCUGUGAAAACUCGGGGCUUAACCCCGGGCCUGCAGUGGGUACGGGCAGACUAGAGUGCGGUAGGGGAGACUGGAAUUCCUGGUGUAGCGGUGAAAUGCGCAGAUAUCAGGAGGAACACCGGUGGCGAAGGCGGGUCUCUGGGCCGUAACUGACGCUGAGGAGCGAAAGCAUGGGGAGCGAACAGG